UGGAGGACGGGAGAAGGGAGGCGGACAGAAUGUAGAAUUGUGUUACCUGUUUACUCUAAACUAAGAUUGUGUGGUGUUUUCCUUCACGCAGCAACUCAACUGGGUUCCAGAGAAAGACUACUGAGGCAAUGGACCCUAAGAAUUUGGAAUCUACCCAGAAGUCUCAUGGAAGACAACGUAAAGAUGCAGCUAGAGGAAGAUCUUGUUUCCUAGAAAGGGGGUUCACAUAGGUUUAUCAACUUGACAGAACACUUUGCAGAAGAGUUUGAUGUUGAAGGGCAGAACCACACUUUUGAUUGGGCCUGCUUUCCUGCUGCCCUCUAAUUAGGGUCCUAGAAAUAGACUUGGGAAAUGGGGAGAGGGCAUUGGCUCUCCAUGUUCCUCUUCACAUUCUGUCCACGCUGAAUACAUUUUUCCCCCCGACUCCCAUUAUUAGUUGUGGCUUAUUAAAGAUCGGUGACUGAGCUUGGCUUGUUGGAGUUUGGGAGUUGUGGGACACCUGGAAGGUGAGCCUUUGCUAGAGGAAGUGGGUCACUGGUCGUAGGGCCCAGAUUCCACUUGUUCUCUGCUUUUUAACUGGAAGACUAAGCACUUUGCCAUGCUCCCUUCAUUACCAUGGUGAACACUGUACUGCAAGCCAAAAUAAAGCCUUCUCUAAGUUG